rnacentral:rRNA from 1 species
GGGUUGUGAGGUUAAGCGACUAAGCGUACACGGUGGAUGCCCUGGCAGUCAGAGGCGAUGAAGGACGUGCUAAUCUGCGAAAAGCGUCGGUAAGGUGAUAUGAACCGUUACAGCCGGCGAUGUCCGAAUGGGGAAACCCAGUGUGAUUCGUCACACUAUCGUUAACUGAAUACAUAGGUUAACGAGGCGAACCGGGGGAACUGAAACAUCUAAGUACCCCGAGGAAAAGAAAUCAACCGAGAUUCCCCCAGUAGCGGCGAGCGAACGGGGAGCAGCCCAGAGUCUGAAUCAGCUUGUGUGUUAGUGGAACGGUCUGGAAAGUCCGACGGUACAGGGUGAUAGUCCCGUACACCAAAAUACACAGGUUGUGAACUCGAAGAGUAGGGCGGGACACGUGGUAUCCUGUCUGAAUAUGGGGGGACCAUCCUCCAAGGCUAAAUACUCCUGACUGACCGAUAGUGAACCAGUACCGUGAGGGAAAGGCGAAAAGAACCCCGGCGAGGGGAGUGAAAAAGAACCUGAAACCGUGUACGUACAAGCAGUGGGAGCACCUUCGGGUGUGACUGCGUACCUUUUGUAUAAUGGGUCAGCGACUUAUAUUCUGUAGCAAGGUUAACCGUAUAGGGGAGCCGCAGGGAAACCGAGUCUUAACUGGGCGUUAAGUUGCAGGGUAUAGACCCGAAACCCGGUGAUCUAGCCAUGGGCAGGUUGAAGGUUGGGUAACACUAACUGGAGGACCGAACCGACUAAUGUUGAAAAAUUAGCGGAUGACUUGUGGCUGGGGGUGAAAGGCCAAUCAAACCGGGAGAUAGCUGGUUCUCCCCGAAAGCUAUUUAGGUAGCGCCUCGUGAACUCAUCUUCGGGGGUAGAGCACUGUUUCGGCUAGGGGGUCAUCCCGACUUACCAACCCGAUGCAAACUACGAAUACCGAAGAAUGUUAUCACGGGAGACACACGGCGGGUGCUAACGUCCGUCGUGAAGAGGGAAACAACCCAGACCGCCAGCUAAGGUCCCAAAG